GCUUUAGUGGUGUAACAGUUAGCACACUCGGCCAGUAUUCAAGAGAUCCAGGUUCGAGUCUCGGCGAGAGCG
rnacentral:tRNA from 1 species